rnacentral:rRNA from 1 species
GAGGAUGAUGGCUCUGGCUUGCGGAUAGUGGUGGAUGAUUUCAUCCACAAGGCCAUCGUCGAGGUAAACGAGGAAGGGACUGAAGCCGCCACUGCCACCAUGGUCGUCCAGGGUCUUGGAUGCGCAAUGCCAUCACCUCCACGCGUGGAUUUCAUCACUGACCAUCCGUUUGCCUACUACAUAGUGGAGGAGGCGACCAGAGCUGUUGUCUUUGCGGGGCACGUCCUCGACCCCUCCAAGCAGUAA